AACGCAUCUUGCGCUCCUUGGUAUUCCGAGGAGCAUGCCUGUUUGAGUGUCAUUAAAAUUCUGUCAAAACAUGCAGUUUGAGUGUGUUUUGGAUUGUGGGAGUGUUGCUGGUUUCUCUUUAUUUGUUUAGAAAGUCCAGCUCUCCUGAAAAGGAUUAGCCAGAAUGUCUUUCUAAUCACUUCUGCCUUUUCAUUGGUGUGGUAGAUGAAUGGAAAGUUCACUAUGCCAGGAAAGCAGGUUAUAAGUGAAGGAAUCAUUUGUGGUGAUUUGUGCUCAUUAAUUGAGAAUUUAAUGAAUAACUUGGCCUCAAAUCAGGUAGGACUACCCGCUGAACUUAA
rnacentral:misc_RNA from 1 species